ACCUAAUAGAUACCCUGGUAGUCCACGCCCUAAACGAUGCGAACUGGAUGAUGGGUACAUUACGGUACUCAGUGUCGAAAGCUAACGCGUUAAGUUCGCCGCCUGGGGAGUACGGUCGCAAGACUGAAACUCAAAGGAAUUGACGGGGGCCCGCACAAGCGGUGGAGUAUGUGGUUUAAAUUCGAUGCAACGCGAAGAACCUUACCUGGCCUUGACAUCUGUCGAAUCCUGCAGAGAUGCGGGAGUGCCGCAAGGAACGACAAGACAGGUGCUGCAUGGCUGUCGUCAGCUCGUGUCGUGAGAUGUUGGGUUAAGUCCCGCAACGAGCGCAACCCUUGUCCCUAGUUGCCAGCACAUCAUGGUGGGAACUCUAGGGAGACUGCCGGUGACAAACCGGAGGAAGGUGGGGAUGACGUCAAGUCCUCAUGGCCCUUACGGCCAGGGCUACACACGUACUACAAUGGUCGGUACAGAGGGUUGCGAAGCCGCGAGGCGAAGCCAAUCCCAGAAAACCGAUCCCAGUCCGG
rnacentral:rRNA from 1 species